rnacentral:rRNA from 1 species
CAGUAGCCACGGUAACACGGAGGGUGCAAGCGUUAAUCGGAAUUACUGGGCGUAAAGCGCACGCAGGCGGUCUGACAAGUCAGAUGUGAAAUCCCCGGGCUUAACCUGGGAACUGCAUUUGAAACUGUCAGGCUGGAGUCUUGUAGAGGGGGGUGGAAUUCCAGGUGUAGCGGUGAAAUGCGUAGAGAUCUGGAGGAAUACCGGUGGCGAAGGCGGCCCCCUGGACAAAGACUGACGCUCAGGUGCGAAAGCGUGGGGAGCAAACAGGAUUAGAUACCCCUGUAGUCCCUGUCUCUUAUAC